UAUCUCUCCGUACGGGGAAGGAUGAGAAGCUUCGACUAAGGUUCGAUUCGAGCGCAGCGAGAAAGCGUUGCCGCAGGCAACGACCCGAAGGGCGAAGCGCGUAGCGCUGAGUCAUCCUUCCCCCACCACCA
rnacentral:sRNA from 13 species